AGUAAAGUCAGCUAAAUAAGCUCUUGGGCCCAUACCCCAAAUAUGAUGGUUAAAGUCCCUCCUUUACUA
rnacentral:tRNA from 1 species